AUUGACAGCUGGCGGCCGGCCAAACACAUGCCUGUCGAACGAGUGGCGGACGGGUGAGUAAUGUCUGGGAAACUGCCUGAUGGAGGGGGAUAACUACUGGAAACGGUAGCUAAUACCGCAUACCAUCGGAUGUUCCCAGAUGGGAUUAGCUAGUAGGUGGGGUAACGGCUCACCUAGGCGACGAUCCCUAGCUGGUCUGAGAGGAUGACCAGCCACACGGGAACGGAGACACGGUCCAGACUCCUACGGGAGGCAGCAGUGGGGAAGAGUGCACAAUGGGCGCAAGCCUGAUGCAGCCAUGCCGCGGGUAUGAAGAAGGCCUUCGGGUGGUAAAGUACUUUGAGCGGGGAGGCGUUACCCGCAGAAGAAGCACCGGCUAACUCCGUGCCAGCCGCCGCGGUAAUAC
rnacentral:rRNA from 1 species